UAGCAGACAGGUGGUCAUCCUGAAGCAGGCGGGAAGAGAGCCUUGUCAUAAAGACUCAUUGAAGUAUGCUGUACCAGUAGCUGUUGACCUGCAUUAUAUGAAUCACCAAGAACCACAGUUUCAGCUAAAAAUCUUCUUUA